rnacentral:rRNA from 1 species
AUUGAACGCUGGCGGCAGGCUUAACACAUGCAAGUCGAACGAGUGGCGGACGGGUGAGUAAUGCUUGGGAAUCUGGCUGAUGGAGGGGGAUAACUACUGGAAACGGUCGCUAAUACCGCAUACCAUAGGAUGAGCCCAAAUGGGAUUAGGUAGUUGGUGGGGUAAUGGCCUACCAAGCCGACGAUCCCUAGCUGGUCUGAGAGGAUGACCAGCCACACCGGGACUGAGACACGGCCCGGACUCCUACGGGAGGCAGCAGUGGGGAAUAUUGCGCAAUGGGGGCAACCUGACGCAGCCAUGCCGCGUGAAUGAAGAAGGCCUUCGGGUUGUAAAGUUCUUUCGGCGAAGAGGCGUUAAUCACAGAAGAAGCACCGGCUAACUCCGUGCCAGCAGCCGCGGUAAUUC